CAAAACUGAACGUGCAGGACAAGUUACAGCACACUUAAGAAACCAUCAGUCCUCUUGAAGGUGGGAAGCAUCUUCCUACACUGUCAGAUUUGAAUAUUUAAUCUAGAGAGUGAACUUGAGUUGAAAUGCAAUUCCUUUGGCAAUGGAAACUGCCUUUGAAGUUUUUGGAUCCUUCUGCAUUCCAUGUUUCCUGUUUUAAAUUGAAAGAACAAAGCACUCUGGAAUAGUGCACUGUAAGCACCCUGUGAAACCUGCAUGUCAGACAUCUGGCCAGCUGACAUGAGGAGCCAGACAGAAGGAGGAGGUCCAGGGGCAUUUCAUUCAUCUUCCCAUCAAACAACCUGCCUGAGGUAUUGACUUGCUGGUAGGAAAUCUUGGCUAGACUGAUGCUGAGAGUUUUCUACAGGGAAAACUGUGACAAACAAGUAAAUAUUCUGCCCUGACAGAAGAGUCUUACACAGGAAAAAAUGGUGAUUUUGGUCAAGGAGAUUUGAGAGAAAAUGACACUCAAGUGGUAAGUUUCUAAGACAGCUGAUGAUUUGACUUACCUUGGUUACAGGGCACUGAUAACACUGCUGUAGGACUGAUCCAGAAUGAUGUGGGUUUUUUUUUACUUCUUCUUCAGAAGCUUUAUUUUAAGCUCUCCUACAACCUGAACUUUGAUUUUAG
rnacentral:lncRNA from 14 species